rnacentral:rRNA from 1 species
AGUGAGCGCUGGCGGUAGGCCUAACACAUGCAAGUCGAUCGGCAGCACAGUAAGAGCUUGCUCUUACGGGUGGCGAGUGGCGGACGGGUGAGGAAUACAUCGGAAUCUACUUUUUCGUGGGGGAUAACGUAGGGAAACUUACGCUAAUACCGCAUACGACCUACGGGUGAAAGCAGGGGAUCUUCGGACCUUGCGCGAUUGAAUGAGCCGAUGUCGGAUUAGCUAGUUGGCGGGGUAAAGGCCCACCAAGGCGACGAUCCGUAGCUGGUCUGAGAGGAUGAUCAGCCACACUGGAACUGAGACACGGUCCAGACUCCUACGGGAGGCAGCAGUGGGGAAUAUUGGACAAUGGGCGCAAGCCUGAUCCAGCCAUACCGCGUGGGUGAAGAAGGCCUUCGGGUUGUAAAGCCCUUUUGUUGGGAAAGAAAAGCAGCAGGUUAAUACCCCGCUGUUCUGACGGUACCCAAAGAAUAAGCACCGGCUAACUUCGUG